rnacentral:rRNA from 1 species
AUAAUUAUUACUAAUAUUAGUAUUUUUUAUAAUUAUUUAAUAUUGGACUAAUUAAGCAUAUUAAUAAUUUUAAAUAAUAAUCUUAGGAAUAAAUGAUUAAGGUAAAAUUAGCUAUUUUUACUUUAAAAGGAAUUUUUCUGCUUUAGGAUUCUAUUUACUUUGAUUAUGAUAGUUGGUAGUGGUAACGGCCUACCAAGUCUACGAUCAAAAGCCAAGUUUGACAGAACAUAUGGCCACAUUGGGAGUGAAAAUACCCCAAGUAAUAUAAAAUUACCUGCAGUCAAGAAUAUUAGUCAAUGCUCGCAAGAGUGAACUAGCUAACUGAAAUCUUAAAUUUUUUUAAGAUAAGGUAAGAGAAAAUAAUGAUACUAUCUUACUAUUAGUGUCGUCUAAAUUUGGUGCCAGAAGACUCGGUAAGACCUUAGACGCAAACGUUAAUCGUCAUAAUCAGGCGUAAAGGGUGUGUAGGCGGCUUUAAACGAUAUAAAUUUAAUUAUUUAUUAUUAUAUUAUUAUAACAAUAAUAAAUUCUUAUAGCUAAAUAAAUUAUAUUAUAAUUAAAGCUAGAAUCUAAAAGAGGGUAAGCUAAACAACAUAAUUAAUUAGGAUUGACAACUUAUAAUAAUGUGGAGUACUAAAGGUUAAAGCUAUUUAUCUACUUAAGAUUGACGCUCAGAAACGAAGGGGAGAAUAAGAAACUUAGAUUAGAGACCUAAUUAUCUCUCUCAGUCAACGAUGAAUGGUAGUUAUUAAAAAUUAAAAUAUAAUAGGUAUAAUUUAUAUUUAUUAUAUAGAUAUUAGUGACGAGGUUAACACGAUGACCAUUCCGCCUUGUGAGUAAGACUGCAAAGUUGAAAACAAAAAAAUUAGUCGGUCUUGAAGCAAACGAAGUGAAGCAUGUUAUUUAAUACGAUAAUCCGCGUAAAAUCUUACCAGUUCUUGUAUAUUCUUAUGGAUGUUUAUUUUAAUUGAAUAAAUUAUUGUAAGAAUACAGGUGUUGCAUGGCUGUCGUCAGUCCGUGUCGUGAGAAGUUUGGUUAAAUCCGUAAACGGACGAAAUCCCUAGUAUUAAUUUAUACAUAAUACAUAAUAGUGUCGAUAAGAUGCUAGUUGGGGCUAAGACAAGUCAUUAUGGCCCUCAUGAACUGGGCUAUAGACGUGCCACAAAAACUUUUACAAAGUGAUGCAAUUCUGUCCAUAAAUAAUAAAUUUAUUUAAGGAGUAAGGAGGAGCUAAUCAUUAAAGAAAGUUAACUAUUAAAUUAGUUGAAUUGUCAUCUGAAACUCGGUGACAUGAAAAAGGAAUUUCGAGUAAUCGUUGAUCAUUACGCAACGGUGAAUUAAGCAUUCAGGAUGAACUAACCGUCUGUCGCUGGGAAGGAACUUGAUUUUAAGGAAGAUGUGCAUUGUUCUUAUUUUCUUAUUUGCAAUCUAUUUGAUAGAAAAUAUAAAUUAAAGUUUAUAUAAGUAUUCAAAUAAUAAUUAUAAGUACUUUAUAUACUUAAUUAAUUAGUACAAA